rnacentral:lncRNA from 1 species
CUACUUUAUUGAAGUAUGAUUGACAUACAGAGAACACUAUAAUUGAAUGUCUACCAUCUGACGAGUUUGGAGGUAAGUAUACAUCCAUGGGUGGGACCAUCACCAUCUAUGCCAUUAAUAUACCCAUCACUUUCAGAAUUUUCCUCCCAUCCUCUCUCACUGCCUAAGUUUAAUUGUUCCAGCAUUUCAUCCCCUUCUCCUCUUCUGUGCCCUGCUUACACUCUGAGGGGCCAUUCUAUCUCUGAAUCCAAUUGCAUGUAAUAUUUUUUUAAUACUACGUAUGUAUGAACUUGACAAUAAGCGUUUAUAAUAACUAAUUUGUACCCAAAACUCUAAAAAAGUCUUCCACAUGUAUUAUGUCAUUUAGUAAGUCUCAUCAUAACCAUAAGGAGUUGGUUUAUUACUAUAACAUUUCUAUUCCACUGAUUUACUAAUGGAGGCUCAGAGAGGCUACGUGCCUUGCCCAAAGACACACAGUACAGAUAUAUUGAGAUCAGGUUUUUGAGCUGUCUGCCUUCAAAUUCUACAGGGACUGCUCUGGGCACACAACAUUCCAGAACCUGGAUGUCCAGGAAUUCAUGUCAAUUAGGCACUUAUUCUCGGAAUAAACAUUUCCCUGAAGAGCUCUCCAUGCUGGCCAGCAGCAUGGCCCCGCCACAGUUCAGUCGAGGUGAUGAGAUGCCCAUUCAUCUCGGAGGCAUGACGUGGGAGGUACGGUGCCUGGUGCAUGAUGGAUGCGCUUGGGUGUUUACGGCAGGAAUAUGUGCACGGAUGAAUGGAAGAAAUAGGAACCCAGGAGGAGGCGGGAAAGGAAGGAGAAGGCUGGCAAAAAGCUGACCUCAAUUACUUGGAGAGACGUUGAGUCGGAGACAGAAGUGAGAUUUCCAGCAGACAGUUGGCCGUGUGACCAGCUCAGGAGAGAGGUCCAGGCUGAAGAAGCAAAUCCAGGGAGUACGAGCGGGUACAAACGAUAUGAAACCGCUGGCUGGGAUCAGAUCAGUACAGGACACAGUGAGGCUGGAGAAGGCAGUGGGGAGGAAGGAAGCUUGGAGAAGAUCGGCAUUUAAUGCUGAAAGCAGGAGUCCGAGAGGGUCAGUGUUUCCUCUCCCAGGACUGCUGGGGGUUAAGUGAGAUAGAUGCCCAUGACCUGGCAGCUCCAAGAGGUCCAGGCAAGGGUGUAAGCAGAACAUUUAACAGGCACUGGCCAGUCAGAUCCGGCUGGGCCACCAGCGGGUGCCAGGCCUUCUGGGCUCCCAGCUGUGUUGGAAUCAACUCUGGAAUAGCGGUGUCAUAGAGAAGUCGGGGGAAGGAUGGCGGGAGGGUCUGGGGCAGCUGGGGCAGGGAGGGGGCAGUCGGGGACUCAGGCAGCUGCUCUGUAGAAUGUAAACAUGUAAAGACUUUAAAAAGCGGGCAGUUAUAUGGGGAUAACCUGGCUGCAUGUCAGCCCCAGGGACUGACAGCAACUAUGUACUUCCUUCCUGUGUGGCCUUGCAUUAGAAUAGUGCCCAGCAGAGAGUAAAGCAGAGUCCUAGCACAGUGCCUGGUCUAGCAUAGGCUCUCCAUAAAUGUGCCUUCCAAUCGUUUCAGGGAGUAAAGUUGCCUCCAUAGUAACAAGGAAUUUCCUCCUCUGAGCACAAUUUUUCUAUUUUAGGGAACCACAUUUCCUUUCACUUGGGAAGACCUGUCUUUUCGGCCAUUGAAUUCCUGGGAAUUUCAAAGACACAGGGCUGCAAGCUCACCGUGGCUCACAGGACAGUUGGAGCCUAAGUGAACAAUGGCCCCAUCUCGAGGGACAGCGCCAGUCAGGGUCACCCCUCUGGUAGCCUCCCCUUCCUUC